rnacentral:rRNA from 1 species
AUCCUGGCUCAGGAUGAACGCUGGCGGCGUGCUUAACACAUGCAAGUCGAACGAGAGAAGAUUGGUGCUUGCACUGAUCCGAUCGAGUGGCGGACGGGUGAGUAACGCGUGGGUAACCUGCCUCAUACAGGGGAAUAACAGUUGGAAACGGCUGCUAAAACCGCAUAAGCGCACAGUAUCGCAUGAUACAGUGUGAAAAAACUCCGGUGGUAUGAGAUGGACCCGCGUCUGAUUAGCUAGUUGGUGAGGUAACGGCCCACCAAGGCAACGAUCAGUAGCCGGCCUGAGAGGGUGAACGGCCACAUUGGGACUGAGACACGGCCCAAACUCCUACGGGAGGCAGCAGUGGGGAAUAUUGCACAAUGGGGGAAACCCUGAUGCAGCGACGCCGCGUGAGUGAUGAAGUAUUUCGGUAUGUAAAGCUCUAUCAGCAGGGAAGAUAAUGACGGUACCUGACUAAGAAGCACCGGCUAAAUACGUG